UGGGGAAUAUUGCACAAUGGGGGAAACCCUGAUGCAGCAACGCCGCGUGAAGGAAGACGGUUUUCGGAUUGUAAACUUCUGUUCUUAGUGAAGAAUAAUGACGGUAGCUAAGGAGCAAGCCACGGCUAACUACGUGCCAGCAGCCGCGGUAAUACGUAGGUGGCAAGCGUUGUCCGGAAUUACUGGGUGUAAAGGGAGCGCAGGCGGGAGACCAAGUCAGCUGUGAAAACUACGGGCUUAACCUGUAGACUGCAGUUGAAACUGGUUUUCUUGAGUGAAGUAGAGGUUGACGGAAUUCCGAGUGUAGCGGUGAAAUGCGUAGAUAUUCGGAGGAACACCGGUGGCGAAGGCGGCCAACUGGGCUUUAACUGACGCUGAGGCUCGAAAGCGUGGGGAGCAAACAGGAUUAGAUACC
rnacentral:rRNA from 1 species